rnacentral:tRNA from 1 species
AAGGAAGUGACAGAGUGGUUAUGUGUCUGGCUUGAAACCAGGUCAUGGGGGUUCAAUUCCUCCCUUUCUUG